UACGGAGGGUGCAAGCGUUGUCCGGAUUUAUUGGGUUUAAAGGGUGCGUAGGCGGUGCGAUAAGUCCGUGGUGAAAGCCGCUUGCUCAACAAGCGAACUGCCAUGGAUACUGUCGGACUUGAGUGUAGACGAGGGCGGCGGAACGGAUGGUGUAGCGGUGAAAUGCAUAGAUACCAUCCAGAACCCCGAUUGCGAAGGCAGCUGCCUAGACUACAACUGACGCUGAGGCACGAAAGCGUGGGGAGCAAACAGG
rnacentral:rRNA from 1 species